rnacentral:rRNA from 1 species
AGCUCUCAAUGUGUAUAUCGUCAUUGCUGCGGUUAAAAAGCUCGUAGUUGGAUCUGAGACAGCGGAGGUGGUGCUCUCUGAGUAACUGCCGUUCGUGUCUGAAUGUCGGUUUGGCGUAGCCUUCGGGUUGCGUUGACUGGCGUGAUUACCUUGAAUAAAUUAAAGUGCUCAAAACAGGCGUUACGCUUGUAUAUCCGAUCAUGGAAUAAUGGAAUAUGACUUCGGUUUGUUCUGUUGGUCUUAGAACCGAAAUAAUGGUUAAGCGGGACUGACGGGGGCAUACGUAUCGUUGCGAUAGAGGUGAAAUUCUUGGACCGCAGCGGGACGCCCAAUUGCGAAAGCAUUUGCCAAGAAUGUCUUCA